UACGGGGGGGGCAAGCGUUGUUCGGAAUUACUGGGCGUAAAGGGCGCGUAGGCGGAUGGACAAGUCUGUCGUGAAAGCCCACGGCUCAACCUUGGAAUUGCGGUUGAUACUGUCUGUCUUGAGACCGGGAGAGGUGGGUGGAAUUCCCAGUGUAGCGGUGAAAUUCGUAGAUAUUAGGAGGAACACCGGUGGCGAAGGCGGCUCACUGGACCGGUACUGACGCUGAGGCGCGAAAGCUAGGGGAGCAAACAGG
rnacentral:rRNA from 1 species